GGUAUAGACCCGAAACCCGGUGAUCUAGCCAUGGGCAGGUUGAAGGUUGGGUAACACUAACUGGAGGACCGAACCGACUAAUGUUGAAAAAUUAGCGGAUGACUUGUGGCUGGGGGUGAAAGGCCAAUCAAACCGGGAGAUAGCUGGUUCUCCCCGAAAGCUAUUUAGGUAGCGCCUCGUGAAUUCAUCUCCGGGGGUAGAGCACUGUUUCGGCAAGGGGGUCAUCCCGACUUACCAACCCGAUGCAAACUGCGAAUACCGGAGAAUGUUAUCACGGGAGACACACGGCGGGUGCUAACGUCCGUCGUGAAGAGGGAAACAACCCAGACCGCCAGCUAAGGUCCCAAAGUCAUGGUUAAGUGGGAAACGAUGUGGGAAGGCCCAGACAGCCAGGAUGUUGGCUUAGAAGCAGCCAUCAUUUAAAGAAAGCGUAAUAGCUCACUGGUCGAGUCGGCCUGCGCGGAAGAUGUAACGGGGCUAAACCAUGCACCGAAGCUGCGGCAGCGACACUAUGUGUUGUUGGGUAGGGGAGCGUUCUGUAAGCCUGUGAAGGUGGCCUGUGAGGGUUGCUGGAGGUAUCAGAAGUGCGAAUGCUGACAUAAGUAACGAUAAAGCGGGUGAAAAGCCCGCUCGCCGGAAGACCAAGGGUUCCUGUCCAACGUUAAUCGGGGCAGGGUGAGUCGACCCCUAAGGCGAGGCCGAAAGGCGUAGUCGAUGGGAAACAGGUUAAUAUUCCUGUACUUGGUGUUACUGCGAAGGGGGGACGGAGAAGGCUAUGUUGGCCGGGCGACGGUUGUCCCGGUUUAAGCGUGUAGGCUGGUUUUCCAGGCAAAUCCGGAAAACCAAGGCUGAGGCGUGAUGACGAGGCACUACGGUGCUGAAGCGACAAAUGCCCUGCUUCCAGGAAAAGCCUCUAAGCAUCAGGUAACAUCAAAUCGUACCCCAAACCGACACAGGUGGUCAGGUAGAGAAUACCAAGGCGCUUGAGAGAACUCGGGUGAAGGAACUAGGCAAAAUGGUGCCGUAACUUCGGGAGAAGGCACGCUGAUAUGUAGGUGAAGCGACUUGCUCGUGGAGCUGAAAUCAGUCGAAGAUACCAGCUGGCUGCAACUGUUUAUUAAAAACACAGCACUGUGCAAACACGAAAGUGGACGUAUACGGUGUGACGCCUGCCCGGUGCCGGAAGGUUAAUUGAUGGGGUUAGCGGUAACGCGAAGCUCUUGAUCGAAGCCCCGGUAAACGGCGGCCGUAACUAUAACGGUCCUAAGGUAGCGAAAUUCCUUGUCGGGUAAGUUCCGACCUGCACGAAUGGCGUAAUGAUGGCCAGGCUGUCUCCACCCGAGACUCAGUGAAAUUGAACUCGCUGUGAAGAUGCAGUGUACCCGCGGCAAGACGGAAAGACCCCGUGAACCUUUACUAUAGCUUGACACUGAACAUUGAGCCUUGAUGUGUAGGAUAGGUGGGAGGCUUUGAAGUGUGGACGCCAGUCUGCAUGGAGCCGACCUUGAAAUACCACCCUUUAAUGUUUGAUGUUCUAACGUUGGCCCGUAAUCCGGGUUGCGGACAGUGUCUGGUGGGUAGUUUGACUGGGGCGGUCUCCUCCUAAAGAGUAACGGAGGAGCACGAAGGUUGGCUAAUCCUGGUCGGACAUCAGGAGGUUAGUGCAAUGGCAUAAGCCAGCUUGACUGCGAGCGUGACGGCGCGAGCAGGUGCGAAAGCAGGUCAUAGUGAUCCGGUGGUUCUGAAUGGAAGGGCCAUCGCUCAACGGAUAAAAGGUACUCCGGGGAUAACAGGCUGAUACCGCCCAAGAGUUCAUAUCGACGGCGGUGUUUGGCACCUCGAUGUCGGCUCAUCACAUCCUGGGGCUGAAGUAGGUCCCAAGGGUAUGGCUGUUCGCCAUUUAAAGUGGUACGCGAGCUGGGUUUAGAACGUCGUGAGACAGUUCGGUCCCUAUCUGCCGUGGGCGCUGGAGAACUGAGGGGGGCUGCUCCUAGUACGAGAGGACCGGAGUGGACGCAUCACUGGUGUUCGGGUUGUCAUGCCAAUGGCACUGCCCGGUAGCUAAAUGCGGAAGAGAUAAGUGCUGAAAGCAUCUAAGCACGAAACUUGCCCCGAGAUGAGUUCUCCCUGACUCCUUGAGAGUCCUGAAGGAACGUUGAAGACGACGACGUUGAUAGGCCGGGUGUGUAAGCGCAGCGAUGCGUUGAGCUAACCGGUACUAAUGAACCGUGAGGCUUAACCUU
rnacentral:rRNA from 1 species